GCCAACAUGUCAUGGACAGACAGCGUGCUGUUAGUGGUAUUGAAGAGUAAGGAUCACAGCAGCAUCUAACCGGACCUAAGUGACAUUUGCAGGCAGUUUUUCACUUGUUUUGCCCGACGAGAGUUGAGAGCAGCCAAUGUAUGGGCUGUCAUGUCCCAGCACUGUCACAACUUGAGCCGCUAUGAAAAAAACUGUCACGCACAACAGCAGUGUGAGCUCGCAUCUCGUGUCAAAGAGCGGACACACUUCCGCCGUUCACCGUGGCAUUUCUCAGUGUCACCACAUGCCAGCUACCACAGCGUCAGGUGGGUGGAACAAAUGUCAAGUUUUUAUAACCUUUAUUUAGUCAUGUAAAGGUGAUUCAUCUCCAAUAAUGUUGCUUCAACUACACACCCAGGCGCGGUCUAAUUUAAAUGCAAUAUCUGGAGCAGCUGGAGGACUGUGGAUUGAUAAAGAGCACUCCAAAAGUAGCUGGUAGCUAAAAAGUAGCUGUUUCUAAUUCCUUAUCCACUUCAGAAAUUCCCUUUCAGGUCAGGAUUUGAAGCCUUAAGUCUCAACUUAAUAUUUCUCAAAUCUACUAUAUUGAAGCCAGCCAUUAUGUACCUCAAAGUAGAAAUAAUCUUUAUUUGUAAAGCACUUUUCUAAACUCACAUUACAAAGUUCUUCACACAAGGCAGCAACUUCAAGCAGUUGUCAUUUACACAGAGUUUGAAGGUCAGGCUCAGAGGCAGAUCAGCACCACUGGAGCCGUUAUAGAUUAAGUCAUUUUUAGCAUCCUACACUACAGGUUCCCUUUAGCAGGAAUCACGUGCAUGUGCUACAACCUGCACCAACUACAGGCAUUAAUAUGACAUGAAAGAUACUAUUUUUAGGAUGAAAAAAUGUGAAAAUGAGACAGGUGCCAUGUAAGGGGCCAUGGUAUGUUAAUUUGGUCUUAUCAUGCUGAUAAUUCAUUACCUUUUUUGCACCUUUUUUGAUCUGUUGCCAAUUUGCAUAUCACUAUCUUUCCUGUCAGAACCUGCUGUUUCCUCCCUAUUUUAAUGUAGUUGUUAGUGUGUUCUCGCCUUUCACCAUCACCUGCACCCUGCUGCACCAUUUGAAUGCAAGUCUGAUCAUAACUUCAAGUGUAAAGUCAAAUAAUAACAGACUUGUUAAUAACUAGUUUGUUUCUCCAGUUACAGCGUAUGAUAUAUACUUGUAAACUCUAAUCAUAUUAUAACUUAACUAAGUUGACCGUUUUCAAAACAUUGCUACAGAGAGUGAUGAUUCACUUGUUUUACUAACUUGUUUGCUAUCACAUAUGAACCAGCGUAUGUUUGUUUGUCCAACAUUACCUCAAUAAUAAUUUAAAUGUGUUACUGAGCCCUUACCGGUCAUCAUGAGCAAAAGUUAAAGUAAAGUGAUGGCAUAAAAAAUAAUUUAAAACCAUUAUGCAUACAAAUUUUAAAUUUCAGACUUUUGCGUCCCCUACUGGUGGUAUCAAAAAAGACACUGGCAGACUGUGUCUGACCCAAGGAUACAGACAUGCUGUAAUUAGACUAAAAGCAACACAUUGACUGCACCAAUUAUUUGUGGGAUUGUCUCAUUUUAUGCUAUAAUAAUAAUAACACAACAAUUCUACACAUAGUGGUUUUAAACCGAGGCUCAGCUUCAGUUAAAGAAAACAAACUUUCAAGAAAACUUUACUGACAAUAGACUUCUGGUUAGGAAUUUAACUUGUAAGAGUUGACAGUCAAAACUGUCCUCACAAACUCCCAACACUCCCACCACCUCUCUCCACCCAUCUCCUGUCAUCAAGCUCAUUUCAUGAAGUUAUCUGAAAGCAGGUUGAGACACAAAAAAAACAUGGAUGAAAAUGAGUUCUCUCAAUUGUCUUCUCACCUAACUAACCUCUAAUACUGUCAAGUCAGAUUGAUUCCAGACGUGACAUGUCUCGUAUUCACAACUUCCCAUUACCCUUUUUUUACCAUUUAACUCAGGCAUACUGAGGGCUUCCCUCAGCUUUCAUGGAUAUUUUCCUGUUCACAUGAUGACUCAGUGAUUGUCUGCUGUAUUAAGACCUCACUAAUGAUGAGAAAUAACAUGAAAUGAAUGACACAGCAUGUCACAAAUGGCUCAUUCCUGUUAUUGGUACAACAGCCAGUGAUUUCACUAACAGCCUAUAAUUUCUCCCUCAUAGCAAGCUGGGAUAGAGAGAACAAGCAGGACCUGCGAUUGGCCUAUUUUUAGUGAGAGUGCGCAUGUUUGUAUGGGUUUGUAAUGAGAGUCAGUCAGUCAGUCGGCAGCCUUCAGCCGGGUGGGAUCAUUCUCUGCUGCCAUUAGUGGAAAUGUCAACACUGAGGUAAAGGCUCUGAAUUAUUUACUACUACUGCUACUAUAGACACAGUAUGUUUGCAGUCACGCCAUCUUCCUUUCUAUACAUGUUCACAGACAGAAUAUGCUGCAUGCACAGUAUGGCUGACAACAAACCUCUUUUGUGUUCUCUCUUCAUGUUAUAGGCAGCUCCGUUGGCUAUAUUGGCUUUCAGGCUUAAGUAGAAACAUGUCAUUCAUCUGGGUGAAUGGGCACACAUCUCAUCUCUAAUUAGAUAUCUUGGAGAGAUGAGAGCGAUGCAGUCAGCUGUUACUGCUGUGACUGUGGUUCAUCAAAGCUCGCAGCCAAUCCCAGAUGGCAUUCAGUCCAAGAUGGGCAGCAGAAUCAGACGCAGCCUCUGGUGUUUUUUCCUGAAUCAAAUUUUUGUCUGGGUUUCUGUUUUCCCUUGUGUUUGCAUCUGUGUGUCUAUCUCCCACAUAUGAUGCAUUUUGUGCAUGCAAGUUGAGAAAGUGCAUUCAGCUCUACCAAACAGAAAAUAGGUAACACUGGCAACAAUCUUGGUUCAGUCAGGUUGGGACAAGAUGGCGACACUUGGACAUCAUGGAAUGAUUAAAAGGAUGUUUGGUUAAUGGCAUUAGUCCAACUUUAAAGGAUAAUUGCUCCCCAGACUCUUUCCCUAAACCUAACCCUAUGUUAUACUGUAUCCCUCCUUUUAAAAUAUUUAUAUAUAUGUUUUUAUAUAUACAACAUUUUUUAUAUUUUGUCUGUAUCAUUUAGUGAUUUCUAUAACUUUUUUGCAACUAUUGAUAAUGUAUCUGGAGGGUCGUAUUGUAAGUGUUGUUGUGGAUAUUUUUUGUUUCUUGACUUGACCAUAACAUCAGCAGGACGUAAUCAGUUUUGCGCCAGCACAAAGUAUACCAUGUCAUGUUAAACAUUUGCCUAACAAAGACCAGGUGGAAUUGAAACAUUUUCAUCCAAGGUGCUGGUACUAUUUUUCCUAUCCCCAUGUAUCCCAAUAUAUCUGAUCUGUAACCUUAUUACUGAGCAAAACUGCAUAAAGAUGUAUUUCAGCUAACUGGAAACCAAGAAGAAGAAGAAGUUUCAAUGGCUAAAAGAUGCUGUCUCCAAAAUAAGUUAGACUGAACUGAUGUUUCUGGGAGAACCACCUAAUCUCUCUCAAAAUACAAAUCCAAUCCGAUUUUUUUCCACAGGUUUGAGCCGGUUCCAGCAACCUCCAAGGGGGUGGUAACAUGUCUUAAUGAUGCAUGCAUUAAAAUGGAUUGGCCAGUGAAUGAGUGAAUUCGUAAUGUGUGAAUGAAUGAAAUACACACCCAAAUAAUCUACAAAACAAACAAACAAGGAUUGGCACAGAUUCAGAUUUCUGCCAAAACAGCUUUUUGUGAUUCAGUAGAUGUAAUUGCUUCUUUCUGACAUCAUGUUUCAUCAGGCACUGAAAAAAAGAAACCACAUCUGCCCUCUCAGCACAAAAUCUCAGCCAGCACAUGAAGUAACACUGGUCGAUAAUGAAGACAUAAAACCUCAGAGGUGGAAGCCAAUAUCCUCCUCGGGUCGGUCAAUAAUUAAUUUAGUUUUGCCUUAAGACCCUGUGUGUGAACCUAUUAAAAUGCCACUGACUUAAAGUCAGUGGUAUUAGAGCAGAUUUUUUAUGGUGCUGCACUUUUUGCAGCAGGAAAGUAUAAUUGGAUUUUUGGUUUCUUUUACAUGGGAGUUGAAAAGUCCUGGCCUCACCUGCAAAUGGCAUAAACAACUAAUUGUCAAAAUUUUGAUAAGUAAGAUAGAUAAUGAGAGCAGGGUACAAUCAGAAAUGUUUGGUAAAGAGCUAAAAUGUCACCAAGAUGGCUACUGGAAUAAUUAAAGUCCUCGUCAAUUGUUUUUGGUCUCUUGAGUGAAAUGUCUCAUGGAAAUCCCAAAUACAAGCCAGUAGUUGUUGAGUCAUUGGUGUUGAUCAAUAACCCCAUCAACUCCUCACAGAUAUACUGCGGUAAUUUUGUGUAGCAGUAUGCAGCAUUUACAAUAAGAGCUCAACAACAAUUAAUUGAAACAAAGCUUGGAACUUGCAGUCAAACACACACACACACACGCACACAUUGUUUUUGUCACUUGUGAGGAUAUUAACUUACAUUACAUUAAUAUCCAGGAGGCUUACUCUGACCUUAACCAGAACCGCUGCAUGCCUUAUCCCAACCCUAACAUUAACUUUAACCUGAGCCUAAUUUUAAGAUAAAGCAAGAAGUCUUAACCCUAAAAUAAAUGGUUAACCUUGUGAGGACCAUCUUUUUGUCCCCAGAUGGAAGGUGAGUCCCUACAAUUUGAGAGCCAUUCGUGGUCCCCACACUGUGAUUAGUUCCAAGUAUACAUACACACCAACACCAACAGAUUGCAGACACCAAAUACAUGCAUGCCACCCAUGAACAUAUACAACUCUGUCACCUACAAAUUACAUUCACAUAGAACUAAUAUUUUUGGCUAAUACAUUUUGGAAGGAAAUGUAAUGCUGCCCAGAUUGUGAUCACUGGCAACGAAUUAUUUUAGUGCAAGAAGUGCAAUGAAGUAUGAAAUCCUGGCGGCAUUACGUGUCCAUAAAAAAAUAUCUGAAAAUUGUAUCUGAGUGUAAUUUGUAGAAGACACUUAUGCAGUCUAAUACAUUUCUGGCAGAUAUUUCUAUUAUUUUGUAUAAUGCGAUAUAAUUCAACAGCACCACAAACUGCAGCCUCCAAAAUGAUCAUGCAGUUGAAUCAACACCUUCAAAUCAAAAUCAAUCACAAUCAAAAACCGUUUCAACAAAAACUGAACAUUAUGGCUUUUGUGAAGGUAGGAUUUAAUGCAGGACUGUUGUAUUAGACUGCAUUCAUUUGUGUACCUAAUAAACUGGCAACUGAGUGUACAUCCUUGUACAAAUACUAAUAAAUAUUCUAACAAAACAA